rnacentral:rRNA from 1 species
AUGGAGGCCUCCCGAUCUCUUCCCAUGGAUGGUGAGCUCCUCACUUCUCCAUACAACCUCACUGUUCAUGAGGUCAAGCUCCUUAAUAAGAAGAAGCAUGCCGAGCCUCGCUUCCCUGAACAUGCUCCUGAGGAUGUCUAUGCUACUUCUGACGAUGAGGACUUUGAGCUGGAGCCAGGGGCCCAGCCUUCGUGGGUGGCCAAACUUACUGCCAAGGUGAAGAAGACCUUUUGUCUCCAGGCUGACAUCCAGAAGAAGAUGUAUGAGGCACAUGUCAAUGAGAAGCUUGCACAGCGUCGCCAAAUUGCAAUGAUGAAGCACCUCAACAUGCAGGUUCAGAGUGGCUCUGAGAAGAGCAUCACCCCAGAGGAGCGUUGGAUCUCUACCCAUAGCACCUGGACUGAUGAUGAAGUCCCUCCCCAGUCAUCAUCCUCCCUCGAAUCGUGUCUUCCACCACCACGAAAACCAAACCCGACGUCCCCGUCGAAUCCCCGACCUCCAAACCCUAGCACCCACCCAGUAUCCAUGGCGACGGAGACGGGCACCGCCGCCAACACAGCCGCGCCGCGCCUCCUCCUGGGCCCGCCGCUGGUCCGGGCGGCGCGCCCCUCGCCCAACGCCGCCGCCGACGCCCCGGAGUCGCACCCGUUCCUCGACCUCCUCGACGCGGCCUUCAACGCGUCCUCCGCCGCCGAGGCCAAGGCGGCGCUGGCCCCGCGACGGGCGCGAACGGAGAACUGCAACGCCACGUACGCCAACUCGGGCGACCCCUGCGUCGACUUCUUCUUCCACGUGGUCCCGUCCACGCCCGCCGCGCGCGUGCGCGAUCUCCUUGCCGCCGCCUGGGCCCGCGACCCGCUCACGGCGCUCAGGCUCGCCUGCAACCUCCGUGGCUCGGACCGGGAGGGCUUCUACGCCACCGCGCUCUGGCUGCACGACCACCACCCGCGCACGCUCGCCUGCAACGUCGCCGCGCUCGCCGAGUUUGGGUAUCUCAAGGACUUCCCCGAGCUGCUCUUCCGCCUCGUCCGCGGCCAGGACGUGUGCAGGCUCGCCAAGGAGGGCACCGCUGCCGACAAGGCGCGCAGGGAGGGCAAGCAGCUCGCCGAGCAGCGGGUCGGCCUCCGCGCCAGGCUCGCCGGCCGCAAGCACGCUCGCGAGGCCGCUACCAGGUCCAUCGUCACGGAGGCGGCGGCCGUGGCGGAGCAGAAGACCGAGGCCAUGGAGGUCGAUCAGAAGAAGGCCUCCAAGCGGGGCUUGCCGAAGAAGGUCCGGACCAUGGCCAAGCUCGCCGUGCAGUCGCUCGAGACCUACUACGGCGACCGUGCCUACCGCUUCCUGUUCGACGCCGUGGCCGACUUCUUCGCCGCACUGCUCGCCUCCGACAUGAAGCAGAUGGCCCCUGGCGGCAAGAAGAGGAAUAUCGGGCUCGCCGCCAAGUGGUGCCCCACUCCAGGCUCCUCCUUCAACCGCGCCACGCUGCUCUGCGAGGCCAUCGCCUGCCGCCUCUUCCCGCGCGACUCCGACCCCGAGUACGCCGAGCUCUCGGACGAGCACUACAGCUACCGCGUCCUCCGCCGCCUCCGCCGCGAGGUGCUCGUGCCGAUCCGCAAGGCCCUGGAGCUCCCGGAGAGAGCUGGCCCAAUAGGCCCAUCAUGUAACCUUAGCUUCCAAAUGAAAUCCAACCCGUCCAUAUGCUCUAAUCUCGACCGUGCAUCUACUCUCCCAUGUGCCUUUCUCCUUCGCCUCUUUCGUGCUUCUCCUCGUACAGGUGGCGCACUCUCCAGCUUCGUCUCCUCCUCCCCCGCCUUGGACUCGGGCCUCCUCAGCUUCCCAGUCUUUCCUCCCUUGGCCUUGCUGAAUCAAGCCGCCCUGCUUCGAGGUCCUAGUCGCCCGACUAGCCUACCAGCCACGCGACUCGCUCCUCUAGCCAAGUCGCCUGUGCAAGCCAACCUCGCUCCAACGACUUGGCGAUUAGUCGGCGACUCAAAAACCUUGACCGUGGCUGAAAAAAAGGGAAACUAA